GACAGAGGGGCAAGCGUUGCUCGGAAUUACUGGGCGUAAAGGGCGCGUAGGCGGGAUGGCAAGUCGGUCGUGAAAUCCCUCGGCUCAACCGAGGAACGUCGAUCGAUACUGCUGUUCUUGAGGAUUGCAGAGGAGACUGGAAUUCCCGGUGUAGCGGUGAAAUGUGGUAGAGAUCGGGAGGAACACCGGUGGCGAAGGCGGGUCUCUGGGCAAUUCCUGACGCUGAGGCGCGAAAGCGUGGGGAGCAAACGGG
rnacentral:rRNA from 1 species